UUCGAAUCCUGCACGACCCACCAAUUUAACAUCAAACUCAGAUGUUGAACGUGAAGGAUAACGUUGCGUCAGCAACGGCCCGUAGGGCGAGGCGAAGCCGAGUCAUCCUGCACGACCCACCA
rnacentral:sRNA from 1 species